rnacentral:rRNA from 1 species
GUACACGCUGUGACUAGCAUAUCAAUAAGCGGAGGAAAAGAAACUAACAAGGAUUCCCCUAGUAACGGCGAGUGAAGCGGGAAGAGCUCAAAUUUGAAAUCUUAAAGGGUUUCCCUUUACGAAUUGUAGUUUAAAGAAGUGUUUUCUGUUGAGGUUUUGGUAAAAGUUCUUUGGAAUAGGGACAUCAUAGAGGGUGAGAAUCCCGUAUUUGACCUUUACUUUCAGCUUUGUGAUACACUUUCAAAGAGUCGGAUUGUUUGGGAAUGCAGUCCAAAAUGGGUGGUAAAUUUCAUCUAAAGCUAAAUAUUGGCGAGAGACCGAUAGCGAACAAGUACCGUGAGGGAAAGAUGAAAAGAACUUUGAAAAGAGAGUUAAACAGUACGUGAAAUUGUCAAAAGGGAAGCGUUUGACACCAGUGUUGUUUUUCUGAAAAUCAAUUAAAGAACUGUUUAUGCUAAGCUGUUUAGACUUUAUCAGCUAUCUGUUUAGUUUUGAGCUUUUCUUUAAUGCACUUUUCAGUUAACAAGUCAACAUCAAUUUCUUUUGCUGUAAAAAAGCUUGAGGAAGGUGGCUUGAGAUUCGUCUUAAGUGUUUAUAGCCUCUUGCCUAUGCAGUCGGAGAGAUUGAGGUCUGCAGCGUAGAUCCUUCGGGGCUAAAUGCAUUUGUGCUAAGUUAUAGCAUUUUAUAGACAACUUGUUGACUAUGAUUUGUCUUGUAGCUUACUCGCUUAUGUUAUUUUACCUACGCUUAGGAUGUUGAAGAUGUAGCACAUCA